AGGCUUCACAGAAUAUUAACACCACUGCUCCUUUCUACAGUUCUUACGGUAAGAAACAGGGCUUGGUGACCUGGCUGAAGUCCUGUCUUCUUGGGCAGAAAUGGGAGCAUUUACACAGUUCUGGCCCUUCCUAUCAACUCUGCGAUUUAAGAGUAGAGUUUUAAUGAAAAAGGAUGCAAUAAAGUAAAAAGACACCAUGUGAUCCAAAACAAAAGGUUAAGAACAUGGACAAAAACUGGAACACUGACUUCAUGCUUGAUGUGUCCAUUACUUUUACAAGAGAGGUGACAUGAAGACAUGAUAACAAGAA
rnacentral:lncRNA from 14 species